rnacentral:SRP_RNA from 1 species
CAGCCGGACCCCGGAAGUCCAUCGUCGCCGAAUCUGGUCAGGCCUUGACGGGAGCAGCCAUAAGGCAGCCGAGGGCGUUCCGGGUCAUCCGGCUGUGC